rnacentral:rRNA from 1 species
GGUUAAGCGACUAAGCGUACACGGUGGAUGCCCUGGCAGUCAGAGGCGAUGAAGGACGUGCUAAUCUGCGAUAAGCGUCGGUAAGGUGAUAUGAACCGUUAUAACCGGCGAUUUCCGAAUGGGGAAACCCAGUGUGAUUCGUCACACUAUCAUUAACUGAAUCCAUAGGUUAAUGAGGCGAACCGGGGGAACUGAAACAUCUAAGUACCCCGAGGAAAAGAAAUCAACCGAGAUUCCCCCAGUAGCGGCGAGCGAACGGGGAGGAGCCCAGAGCCUGAAUCAGUGUGUGUGUUAGUGGAAGCGUCUGGAAAGGCGCGCGAUACAGGGUGACAGCCCCGUACACAAAAAUGCACAUGCUGUGAGCUCGAUGAGUAGGGCGGGACACGUGGUAUCCUGUCUGAAUAUGGGGGGACCAUCCUCCAAGGCUAAAUACUCCUGACUGACCGAUAGUGAACCAGUACCGUGAGGGAAAGGCGAAAAGAACCCCGGCGAGGGGAGUGAAAAAGAACCUGAAACCGUGUACGUACAAGCAGUGGGAGCCUCUUUAUGGGGUGACUGCGUACCUUUUGUAUAAUGGGUCAGCGACUUAUAUUCUGUAGCAAGGUUAACCGAAUAGGGGAGCCGAAGGGAAACCGAGUCUUAACUGGGCGUUAAGUUGCAGGGUAUAGACCCGAAACCCGGUGAUCUAGCCAUGGGCAGGUUGAAGGUUGGGUAACACUAACUGGAGGACCGAACCGACUAAUGUUGAAAAAUUAGCGGAUGACUUGUGGCUGGGGGUGAAAGGCCAAUCAAACCGGGAGAUAGCUGGUUCUCCCCGAAAGCUAUUUAGGUAGCGCCUCGUGAACUCAUCUCCGGGGGUAGAGCACUGUUUCGGCAAGGGGGUCAUCCCGACUUACCAACCCGAUGCAAACUGCGAAUACCGGAGAAUGUUAUCACGGGAGACACACGGCGGGUGCUAACGUCCGUCGUGAAGAGGGAAACAACCCAGACCGCCAGCUAAGGUCCCAAAGUCAUGGUUAAGUGGGAAACGAUGUGGGAAGGCCCAGACAGCCAGGAUGUUGGCUUAGAAGCAGCCAUCAUUUAAAGAAAGCGUAAUAGCUCACUGGUCGAGUCGGCCUGCGCGGAAGAUGUAACGGGGCUAAACCAUGCACCGAAGCUGCGGCAGCGACGCUUAUGCGUUGUUGGGUAGGGGAGCGUUCUGUAAGCCUGCGAAGGUGUACUGUGAGGUAUGCUGGAGGUAUCAGAAGUGCGAAUGCUGACAUAAGUAACGAUAAAGCGGGUGAAAAGCCCGCUCGCCGGAAGACCAAGGGUUCCUGUCCAACGUUAAUCGGGGCAGGGUGAGUCGACCCCUAAGGCGAGGCCGAAAGGCGUAGUCGAUGGGAAACAGGUUAAUAUUCCUGUACUUGGUGUUACUGCGAAGGGGGGACGGAGAAGGCUAUGUUGGCCGGGCGACGGUUGUCCCGGUUUAAGCGUGUAGGCUGGUUUUCCAGGCAAAUCCGGAAAAUCAAGGCUGAGGCGUGAUGACGAGGCACUACGGUGCUGAAGCAACAAAUGCCCUGCUUCCAGGAAAAGCCUCUAAGCAUCAGGUAACAUCAAAUCGUACCCCAAACCGACACAGGUGGUCAGGUAGAGAAUACCAAGGCGCUUGAGAGAACUCGGGUGAAGGAACUAGGCAAAAUGGUGCCGUAACUUCGGGAGAAGGCACGCUGAUACGUAGGUGAAGUCCCUCGCGGAUGGAGCUGAAAUCAGUCGAAGAUACCAGCUGGCUGCAACUGUUUAUUAAAAACACAGCACUGUGCAAACACGAAAGUGGACGUAUACGGUGUGACGCCUGCCCGGUGCCGGAAGGUUAAUUGAUGGGGUUAGCGGUAACGCGAAGCUCUUGAUCGAAGCCCCGGUAAACGGCGGCCGUAACUAUAACGGUCCUAAGGUAGCGAAAUUCCUUGUCGGGUAAGUUCCGACCUGCACGAAUGGCGUAAUGAUGGCAGGCUGUCUCCACCCGAGACUCAGUGAAAUUGAACUCGCUGUGAAGAUGCAGUGUACCCGCGGCAAGACGGAAAGACCCCGUGAACCUUUACUAUAGCUUGACACUGAACAUUGAGCCUUGAUGUGUAGGAUAGGUGGGAGGCUUUGAAGUGUGGACGCCAGUCUGCAUGGAGCCGACCUUGAAAUACCACCCUUUAAUGUUUGAUGUUCUAACGUUGGCCCCUGAUCGGGGUUGCGGACAGUGUCUGGUGGGUAGUUUGACUGGGGCGGUCUCCUCCUAAAGAGUAACGGAGGAGCACGAAGGUUGGCUAAUCCUGGUCGGACAUCAGGAGGUUAGUGCAAUGGCAUAAGCCAGCUUGACUGCGAGCGUGACGGCGCGAGCAGGUGCGAAAGCAGGUCAUAGUGAUCCGGUGGUUCUGAAUGGAAGGGCCAUCGCUCAACGGAUAAAAGGUACUCCGGGGAUAACAGGCUGAUACCGCCCAAGAGUUCAUAUCGACGGCGGUGUUUGGCACCUCGAUGUCGGCUCAUCACAUCCUGGGGCUGAAGUAGGUCCCAAGGGUAUGGCUGUUCGCCAUUUAAAGUGGUACGCGAGCUGGGUUUAGAACGUCGUGAGACAGUUCGGUCCCUAUCUGCCGUGGGCGCUGGAGAACUGAGGGGGGCUGCUCCUAGUACGAGAGGACCGGAGUGGACGCAUCACUGGUGUUCGGGUUGUCAUGCCAAUGGCACUGCCCGGUAGCUAAAUGCGGAAGAGAUAAGUGCUGAAAGCAUCUAAGCACGAAACUUGCCCCGAGAUGAGUUCUCCCUGACUCCUUGAGAGUCCUGAAGGAACGUUGAAGACGACGACGUUGAUAGGCCGGGUGUGUAAGCGCAGCGAUGCGUUGAGCUAACCGGUACUAAUGAACCGUGAGGCUUAACCUU